rnacentral:rRNA from 1 species
UACGGAGGGUGCAAGCGUUAUCCGGAUUCACUGGGUUUAAAGGGUGCGUAGGUGGUAAGGCAAGUCAGGUGUGAAAUCUCCGGGCUCAACCCGGAAAUGGCAUUCGAAACUACCUUGCUAGAGGGUUUGAGGGGGGACUGGAAUACUUGGUGUAGCAGUGAAAUGCGUAGAUAUCAAGUGGAACACCAGUGGCGAAGGCGAGUCCCUGGAAAACUCCUGACACUGAGGCACGAAAGCUAGGGGAGCAAACAGG